rnacentral:rRNA from 1 species
GGGCCGACGUCGCAUGCUCCCGGCCGCCAUGGCCGCGGGAUUAUUCUAGAGUUCGAUCAUGGCUCAGGACGAACGCUGGCGGCGUGCCUAAUACAUGCAAGUCGAGCGGAGUUUCCGCGGCGGAAGCCUUCGGGCGGAAGACGCGGAGACUUAGCGGCGGACGGGUGAGUAACACGUGAGUAACCUGCCCUCCACUCUGGGAUAACUCCGGGAAACCGGUGCUAAUACUGGAUAUGACCUUGUUCUGCAUGGGACGGGGUGGAAAGAUUUAUCGGUGGUGGAUGGACUCGCGGCCUAUCAGCUUGUUGGUGGGGUAAUGGCCUACCAAGGCGACGACGGGUAGCCGGCCUGAGAGGGUGACCGGCCACACUGGGACUGAGACACGGCCCAGACUCCUACGGGAGGCAGCAGUGGGGAAUAUUGCACAAUGGGCGAAAGCCUGUUGCAGCGACGCCGCGUGCGGGAUGACGCCUUCGGGUUGUAAACCGCUUUCAGCUCUGACGAAGCUUUUGUGACGGUAGGAGCGGAAGAAGCACUGGCUAACUACGUGCCAGCAGCCGCGGUAAUACGUAGGGUGCGACGUUGUCCGGAAUUAUUGGGCGUUAAGA